rnacentral:rRNA from 1 species
ACGUAGGUCCCGAGCGUUGUCCGGAUUUAUUGGGCGUAAAGCGAGCGCAGGUGGUUUAUUAAGUCUGGUGUAAAAGGCAGUGGCUCAACCAUUGUAUGCAUUGGAAACUGGUAGACUUGAGUGCAGGAGAGGAGAGUGGAAUUCCAUGUGUAGCGGUGAAAUGCGUAGAUAUAUGGAGGAACACCGGUGGCGAAAGCGGCUCUCUGGCCUGUAACUGACACUGAGGCUCGAAAGCGUGGGGAGCAAACAGG